UACGGAGGAUGCAAGCGUUAUCCGGACUUAUUGGGUUUAAAGGGUGCGCAGGUUGUUUGAUAAGUCAGUGGUGAAAGUCUGUCGCUUAACGGUAGGAUUGCCAUUGAUACUGUUAGACUUGAAUAUGGAUGAGGUAGGCGGAAUGUGUAGUGUAGCGGUGAAAUGCAUAGAUAUUACACAGAACACCGAUUGCGAAGGCAGCUUACUAAUCCAUCAUUGACGCUGAGGCACGAAAGCGUGGGGAUCAAACA
rnacentral:rRNA from 1 species